GAGCAUCACUUGGAAAUGUGUUAGAAAUGCAAAUUCCCAGGUGCUAUUGCCUUAAAUCCCUUGGGGGAGCAUAAGAAUCUCCCCUAAGUUGCAGAGCAGCAGGUGGCAGCCAGGACUGCCCCAGGACCCACACUUCUGCCCACUAGUCACUGCUGCCUGUGUCUGUGGACCCUGUCUCCCUUCCACAGGGAUCGGUGAGUGACCAUGAGCUGAGAGAGGCUGAAAGGAAUACAAAAGAACAGCACAUUCGCUACCACGGUCUUUGUAAUUAGAAAAGAUUGGGGCCCGGUGCAGUGGUUCAUGCCUAUAAUCCUAGCACUUUGGGAGACCAAGGCAGGGGGAUCACUUGAGCCCAGGAAUUCAAGACCAACCUGGGCAACAUAGCCAGACCCUAUCUCGAUAAAAAUUAAAAAAGAAAGGAUUGGAAACAACCUAAACAUCCACCAGCCCUAGGCUGGUUAAAUAAACUAUGGGGCGUUCAUGUAAUGCAACAACCUUUUAUAGAAAAAGAGUAGGAAAGCUUUUUAUAUAUACUAUGAAACAGUCUCUACAAUGGAGUUUUAAGCAGCAGAAAGCAAAGUGCAAACACUAAAUAUAGGAAACUACCAUUUGUAUGAAAAAAGAGACAAUAUGUAAACAAAUAAUUUAUUUGCACACAUAUAAUAACACACACACACACACACUGAAAGACAAUUCAAAGAACUAGCAACAUAGAGACUUCCUAGAGUUGACCGUGCAAAGGGAUGUGAGGGGGACCUCUCAUAUGUGCUUUGGUACCCUUUGCAUGAAUUGACAGAGUACAAUUCAAAAGAAGAAGAAGAAAGAAGAAGAGAGAGGAGGAACAGACCGAGGGCUUAUAAAAUGCCAGAUACUGGGCUGAAUUCUUACAUGCAUCAUCUCCUUUAAUCUCCUCAACAACGCUUUGAGGUGAUUACUAUUAUUAGCCCCAUUUUGUUGGCAUGGAAACAGAGGCACAGAGAGGCUAAGUGACUUUCCUUGAGUCACAGAGCUAGUGAGUGGCAGAGCUGGGAUUUGAACAGACAUAUGUGUGACUCCAGAGCCCAAGCUGUAAAUCAUGAUAUUACUUUAUAUGUGUGAGUUUAUUUCAUACCACUAACUUUCUUUGGAAGAAGUGAUGGUUUUCCCCUUUAUAAAUAAGAAAAUAGAGGCCCAAAGGGGUUAUGUGGCUUGGCCAAGGUCACGUUGCUGAAGCAUGACCAACCAGGAAGAGAAUCCCUAGAAAGGAUGUAUUAUUGCUGGAGUCUGUAGCUGCACGUUCUCACUAGAAGAGAACCCUUCUCAAUAGGAUAGAGGGGAAAGGCUGUUGUCCUAGAUGUGUGUAAAGGCAGGGACCAUCAUGUCAGCUGAUUGCCCAGUUUCUGGCAUAGCAUCUGGUACAUGUUGAACACCUGAAAACUUUGGAAGGAAGAGAGGGAAUGAGGAAGAGCAACGCUGACCA
rnacentral:lncRNA from 1 species